UUGUAUGGUUGUAUUUAUGUUUAGUAUGCACACUGAAGUGGAUUAUAUGGCAGUGUGGAGUCAAGAUAAUCCAGUUCAAAGCAGAUAAUAUAAGAUAAUAUAAGAUUCUAAAUGGGUUAUAUAGCUGUGUGGAAGGGCCUUGAGUCUACACUGCCAUAUAAUCCAGUUCAAAUCCUAAGUGAGACCUAACUGUGCCUGUCCCCUGGGCUGAGUAGGUUGCUGGGAGACCAAGUGGGCGGAGCUUAGCCUUCAAACUGGCAGCAAUUGGAUAAAAACUAUUAUUCCUCUCCCUCUAAUUAGGACUUUAUUUUUCUUUUCUUUUUCUUGUAUCAACCUAGAGCUGUGAAUGAUGGGUUGUGUUGUCAAAUUUCGAGGUUGGGGGGCCUGUAGUUUUGUUGUUUUGUCCGCUGCCCUGAUGCCAUCACUCUUUUAUAUAUAUAGAUUAAGGACACAUGCACAGUAGUUCCUCUUGCACUUGAAAAUGCUUAUCCUCCAGCUGUCCAGAUUUGGCAGGAACAGCUCUGCUUAAUCUUCUGUCAUCCCACUUUCUCAGCUGCCUUUAAAAUGUCAGCUUGUCUCUGUUCCUACUUUUCCCCUUUGUUCUCAUAGUACAGUAGAGUCUCACUUAUCCAACAUAAACGGGCCAGCAGAAUGUUGGAUAAGCGAAUGUCAUGGAACCCAGUUACAGGGCUUUGGUAAUUCAGCCCUGUAACUGGGAGUCAUAACAUAAACAAUCCCAGGAGCACCUGGCAGAAGAAGAUAGAAUAUGCCUGGGAACUUGGGGCCGAAAGUAUAAACAAUUAUAAUUGGUCUAGUGUGUGAAAAUGGUAGUAAUGUGAUAUUGGGGGUGGGACUUGAUGAUGAUAUUUACGUGUGGUGUUACGUAGCAUCAAAAGUUAUAAAAAUAGUUGUAUGUAAACAUUGGGUCAUUCCUGACUUUUCCAAAGUCAUGUGUUCUUCAAUAAAGAUUGGAUUUGAGAGCAGCCAUCUCUGAUCUGCGUUCAGACUGAUCCUUUGAAGUGAGCAGGACAAUUAAGUCAGGAAUCCAGUUCUCACCCUCCUGCAAAUUUGCAGUGAAGUGAUAAUGAGCAGGGAAGGAGAUCAAAGCCAUGACGGAGCAAAGGGGCCUCCGCUGGGAGCUCUGCCGUUGGCAGAAGAGACAUUGCAAGCCAUAGCUUCCUCUACGGGGUACCCCAAGCCGGACGGCGUGACCCAGAGGAUUCCCAGAGGGGGAAGAGGCGUUCCGGCGGCGGCAGAAACCAGUUGGGGAUCUGGAGGAAGCAUGCCGGAGACCGUGGCCCAGCGGUUAUCCAUCCUGGAAACUCAUUUAUCCAGGCUGUCGGAUACCGUGGGGAGAAUAGUGCCAAUAUUGGAAGAGAAUCUCCAAAAAGAGCACAUCCGAUAUGGCGCCGAGAGAGAGCCAAGCAAAGGAGGCGAUUGGAGCCAGAGGGGACAGCGAGCUUCAACGCAGAGUCCCGCGGCGGCAAGGGACGAGGGAGACGAGGAAUAUUGGCAAGAGCUGGAGUUCCGGGACAGAAUGGCGCGCGAAGUGGAGCGCCAGCAAGCUCUGGGAACUCUGAGGCCGCCAACCCCAACAGAGCUCCCAACCCCCCGAAUGGGCGUCGGAGUAGAAAGACCACUGGGGCCAGGGAUCGGGUCCAGUGGAUUAGCUGACGAAGGCGGAGAGGAGCAGGAGAUCCAGGAAGAGGAGGAGGAUGUGCCGUACGACGGGGAAAGGCGAGAUGCGGGGGCUACAGCGAGGCCAGUAUGCGGAUGGGGGGAAGGGCCGACAGCGGCGGCAGGAUUUCGGGAGCCGCGCAGAAUGACCACCGGAGUGGGGCGCGGCGUGAUCCAAGGAAACCCGAUGCAACCCUUCCCCAUGCCUCCCAGACAGCAUCAACGGGCCGCUGAAUGGAUGCCAAGAAGGGAAGAUCUCAAGCUAGAAUACGGAGGGGAAUCAGCCGAACUGAACUUUUUUCUAAUUAGCAUCAGGGGAUACAUGGAAGACAAUGCACACACAUUCCCCUCCGAAGCAAGCAGGGUUCGGGCCAUCGGCAACACACUAAAGAGAGGAGCGGCCAGCUGGUAUGUGCAACUACAUGCCAGACAGGACCCAUGCCUGAGGUCAGUGCCCCGCUUCCUCGCCGCACUGGAAAACCGGUUCAGAGACCGGCUAGAGCAAUUGAGAGCUCGAGACCAGCUUAGAGGAAUAAAGCAGAGGGACAAAACGGUGCCCGAGUACGCAGAAGAAUUCCUCCACCUCGCGGAAAGGGUACCAGAGUGGUCUGAAGUGACCAAAGUGGAAUUAUUUAAAGAGGGACUACGCCCCGAGAUUUUCAGCUGGGCAGCGCACAGAGAUGACCCCGAAACGCUCCAGGGAUGGAUUCAACUAGCGGGGCGCGUUGAAUCCACCCUGGCCCAAGUAAAGCGCUUCAGGAGCAGCGGCGGCCAGCAAAGACCGGUGGCGAGAGGUCGAGGAGAAACGAGGAAGCAGGAAAGACCCGGAGGGAGGCCGGGGAUUCCCUCCAGAGGAGACAACAACAAACCUAAACCGGGAUGCUUUGUAUGUGGGAAGACGGGCCAUCGAGCAGCAGAAUGCUGGGCACGGAAGGGGGAGCCGCCAAAACCCUCAAAGCCCAAGCCAGCAACCGGGAGGCGUGCGGAGGAGGAGGUGCAAGCCCCAGAAUCUCCAGAAAAAUUGGCUUGUGAUGAAAGAAGAACCGAAGAGGAGGACGAAGAAAAGGAGGGCACCAUGUCAUGGAACCCAGUUACAGGGCUUUGGUAAUUCAGCCCUGUAACUGGGAGUCAUAACAUAAACAAUCCCAGGAGCACCUGGCAGAAGAAGAUAGAAUAUGCCUGGGAACUUGGGGCCGAAAGUAUAAACAAUUAUAAUUGGUCUAGUGUGUGAAAAUGGUAGUAAUGUGAUAUUGGGGGUGGGACUUGAUGAUGAUAUUUACGUGUGGUGUUACGUAGCAUCAAAAGUUAUAAAAAUAGUUGUAUGUAAACAUUGGGUCAUUCCUGACUUUUCCAAAGUCAUGUGUUCUUCAAUAAAGAUUGGAUUUGAGAGCAGCCAUCUCUGAUCUGCGUUCAGACUGAUCCUUUGAA